CAGCAGCCGCGGGAAUACGUAGGUGGCAAGCGUUGUCCGGAAUUAUUGGGCGUAAAGGGCUCGCAGGCGGUUUCUUAAGUCUGAUGUGAAAGCCCCCGGCUCAACCGGGGAGGGUCAUUGGAAACUGGGAAACUUGAGUGCAGAAGAGGAGGGUGGAAUUCCACGUGUAGCGGUGAAAUGCGUAGAGAUGUGGAGGAACACCAGUGGCGAAGGCGACUCUCUGGUCUGUAACUGACGCUGAGGAGCGAAAGCGUGGGGAGCGAACAGGAUUAGAUACCCCCGUAGUCCCUGUCUCUUAUAC
rnacentral:rRNA from 1 species